rnacentral:rRNA from 1 species
GACGAACGCUGGCGGCGUGCUUAACACAUGCAAGUCGAACGAAGUGGCGAACGGGGGAGUAAUACGUGGGUAACCUGCCCUCCUUUUUGGGGUAAACCUUUGAAAAGGGGUCUAAUACCGAAUAACGGGGGAUAGGCUCGCGGCCUAUCUGCUUGGUGGUGGGGUGCUGGCCUACCAAGGCGGUGACGGGUAGCCGGCCUGAGAGGGUGACCGGGCACAUAGGGACUGGGAAAAGGCCGAGAAUACUCCGGGGGGGAGCAGUGGGGGAUAUGGGACAAAGGACGAAAGAGUGAUGCAGCGAAGACGCGGGAGGGAUGAAGGAUGUCGGGUUGUAACCCUCUGUAGGUAUCGAACGGGUAGGUGGAGAAGAAGGGCCGGCUAACUACGGGCCAGGAGCCGCGGUAAUAC